rnacentral:rRNA from 1 species
UACGUAGGGAGCAAGCGUUGUUCGGAUUCAUUGGGCGUAAAGGGUGCGUAGGCGGCGCUGUAAGUCGGGUGUGAAAUUUCGGAGCUUAACUCCGAAACUGCAUUCGAUACUGCGGUGCUUGAGGACUGGAGAGGAGACUGGAAUUUAUGGUGUAGCAGUGAAAUGCGUAGAGAUCAUAAGGAAGACCAGUGGCGAAGGCGGGUCUCUGGACAGUUCCUGACACUGAGGCACGAAGGCCAGGGGAGCAAACGGG